CACGUAGGGCGCAAGCGUUGUCCGGAAUCAUUGGGCGUAAAGAGCGCGUAGGCGGCCAGAUAAGUCCGGUGUGAAAGUCACAGGCUCAACCUGUGAAUGCCGCUGGAAACUGUCUGGCUAGAGUCCGGAAGGGGCGAGUGGAAUUCCUGGUGUAGCGGUGAAAUGCGCAGAUAUCAGGAGGAACACCAAUGGCGAAGGCAGCUCGCUGGAACGGUACUGACGCUGUGGCGCGAAAGCGUGGGGAGCAAACAGG
rnacentral:rRNA from 1 species